rnacentral:rRNA from 1 species
UGGGUGAGUAACGCGUGGGUAACCUGCCCUUAAGUCUGGGAUACCAUUUGGAAACAGAUGCUAAUACCGGAUAAAAGCUACUUUAGCAUGAAAGAAGUUUAAAAGGCGGCGUAAGCUGUCGCUAAAGGAUGGACCUGCGAUGCAUUAGCUAGUUGGUAAGGUAACGGCUUACCAAGGCGAUGAUGCAUAGCCGAGUUGAGAGACUGAUCGGCCACAUUGGGACUGAGACACGGCCCAAACUCCUACGGGAGGCAGCAA